CCUACGGGAGGCAGCAGUGAGGAAUAUUGGUCAAUGGACGAGAGUCUGAACCAGCCAAGUAGCGUGAAGGAUGACUGCCCUAUGGGUUGUAAAGUUCUUUUAUAAAGGAAUAAAACGAGGCACGUGUGCCUUUUUGCAUGUACUUUAUGAAUAAGGAUCGGCUAACUCCGUGCCAGCAGCCGCGGUAAUACGGAGGAUCCGUGCGUUAUCCGGAUUUAUUGGGUUUAAAGGGAGCGUAGAUGGGUUGUUAAGUCAGUUGUGAAAGUUUGCGGCUCAACCGUAAAAUUGCAAUUGAUACUGGCAGUCUUGAGUACAGUUGAGGUAGGCGGAAUUCGUGGUGUAGCGGUGAAAUGCUUAGAUAUCACGAAGAACCCCGAUUGCGAAGGCAGCUUACUAAACUGUGACUGACAUUGAUGCUCGAAAGUGUGGGUAUCAAACAGGAUUAGAUACCCGAGUAGUC
rnacentral:rRNA from 1 species